GUCCCUGUAGCGCAAUGGAUAGUGCGUUGAACUUCUAAUCCAAAGGUCGUGGGUUCGAAUCCUAUCUGGGAUG
rnacentral:tRNA from 1 species